GACGAACGCUGGCGGCGUGCCUAAUACAUGCAAGUCGAGCGGACGAAUCGAAAGCUUGCUUUUGAUUCGUUAGCGGCGGACGGGUGAGUAACACGUGGGCAACCUGCCCUGUAGACGGGGAUAACACCGAGAAAUCGGUGCUAAUACCGGAUAACACGAAAUGUCGCAUGACGUUUCGUUGAAAGACGGCGCAGGCUGCCGCUACAGGAUGGGCCCGCGGCGCAUUAGCUAGUUGGUGAGGUAACGGCUCACCAAGGCGACGAUACGUAGCCGACCUGAGAGGGUGAUCGGCCACACUGGGACUGAGACACGGCCCAGACUCCUACGGGAGGCAGCAGUAGGGAAUCUUCCGCAAUGGACGAAAGUCUGACGGAGCAACGCCGCGUGAGCGAAGAAGGCCUUCGGGUCGUAAAGCUCUGUUGUUAGGGAAGAACAAGUAACGCAGUAACUGGCGUUACCGUGACGGUACCUAACGAGAAAGCCACGGCUAACUACGUG
rnacentral:rRNA from 1 species